AACCGCGGUUAUACGAAAGGCCCAAGGAGAUAAUCCUCGGCGUAAAGAGUGAUUUAUUUUAAUUUUACUAAAGCUAAAUAUUCUCAAGACUGUUAUACGUGUUCGAGAACAUAGAAGACCUCUCACGAAAGUAGCUUUAUAUUAUGAACACCACUAAAGCUGGGGCA
rnacentral:rRNA from 1 species